AUACGGAGGGUGCAAGCGUUACUCGGAAUCACUGGGCGUAAAGCGCGUGCAGGCGGUCUUUUAAGUUGGAUGUGAAAGCCUACAGCUCAACUGUAGAACUGCAUCCAAAACUAUUAGACUAGAGUCUGGGAGGGGAAGAUGGAAUUAGUUGUGUAGGGGUAAAAUCCGUAGAGAUAACUAGGAAUACCAAAAGCGAAGGCGAUCUUCUGGAACAGUACUGACGCUGAGGCGCGAAAGCGUGGGGAGCAAACAGGAUUAGAAACCCCGGUAGUCC
rnacentral:rRNA from 1 species